rnacentral:rRNA from 1 species
AACGAACGCUGGCGGCGUGGAUAAGACAUGCAAGUCGAGCGGGACAAUCAGGGUAGCAAUAUUCUGUUUGUUCAGCGGCGCAAGGGUGCGUAACACGUGGGUAAUUUGCCAUGAAGUCUGGAAUAACUUGCUGAAAGGCGAGCUAAUGCCGGAUGUGACUUCCGAGGGGCAUCUCUUGGAAUUCAAAGCUGGAACCGUAAGGUCUGGCGCUUCUUGAUAAGCCCGCGGUCUAUCAGCUAGUUGGUGAGGUAACGGCUCACCAAGGCUAAGACGGAUAGCUGGUCUGAGAGGACGACCAGCCACACUGGAACUGAGACACGGUCCAGACACCUACGGGUGCAGCAGUCGAGAAUUUUCACAAUGGGCGAAAGCCUGAUGGAGCGACGCCGCGUGGGGAUGAAUGGCUUCGGCCCGUAAACCCCUGUCAUUUGCGAACAAACCUUACCGGUUAAUACCCGGUGAGCUGAUUGUAGCGGAAGAGGAAGGGACGGCUAAC